rnacentral:ncRNA from 2 species
AAUAGGCGCCAGUUGUCAGGUGCUCGACGCUGUGUUCUUGCAGCCAAGAGUGAAACUGGGAAACAGGUGCGUGAAUUCACAUUCGCAAUGCCUGUGCUGCCCCCGCAACGGUAAGCAAGUGCGGGUCUAUCAACAUGCCACUGAGUGCAAACUCGGGAAGGCGAUAGAUCAAAACUUGCAAGCCCGGAGACCGGCCUCACAACCAACCAUUUG